rnacentral:lncRNA from 1 species
AACCCCACAAAUCUCAUGCCUUAAUUAGAUAAGAUCUCAUCUAAUCUGAUGAGAAUAUGAGGCAUGGCGAUGUAAGAAAGAAAGGAUGACAAGGCGUUGGGAUGUUGCGGUGGGAAAGAAGUAGCACAUGCACGCAAGGAAAAUCCCUUCACGCCUUCUAAUUUUUGUUGCAUAAAUUAAACCUCCAGCACCCCUUUCUAUAUUGGGAUA